UACGUAGGGGGCGAGCGUUGUCCGGAAUCAUUGGGCGUAAAGCGCGUGUAGGCGGCCCGGUAAGUCCGCUGUGAAAGUCCAGGCUCAACCCUGGGAUGCCGGUGGAUACUGUCGGGCUCGAGUCCGGAAGAGGCGAGUGGAAUUCCUGGUGUAGCGGUGAAAUGCGCAGAUAUCAGGAGGAACACCAAUGGCGAAGGCAGCUCGCUGGGACGUGACUGACGCUGAGACGCGAAAGCGUGGGGAGCAAACAGG
rnacentral:rRNA from 1 species